rnacentral:misc_RNA from 1 species
AAGUCGUAACAAGGUCUCCGUAGGUGAACCUGCGGAGGGAUCAUUACUGAAUGGCCUCUGGGCCUUCAACCUUGCAAACCUGUGGAAGCAACAUGUGCUUCGGCGCUCCGGCGUCGCUUUUAUGCAUAAAUCUGUUUGUCGUCUGAAUCAUACACAAGAAUCAAAACUUUCAACAAAGGAUCUCUUGGCUCUC